UUUACUAAGAGUUUUGUUAGAAUAUUAUUUGUUAAUCUAGAUUAAUUUUAAAAGUAUUGGCGGUAUAAAGUUAAAUUCUGAGGAACUUGUUUAAUUAAAUUGAUAUUACACAUUAAAUUUUACUUAUAAGUUUUUUUAUGUAUUGCUGUUUUAUUAAUUUUUUGUUAGAUUAAUUAAUUAAAAUUAAUAUUAAUUUAAAAUAAUUCAAGUCAAAAUGUAGAUUUUUAUAAGGUUAAAUGAGUUACAAUUAUAUUAAGAUAUGAAACUGUAAAGUUAAUUGAAAUUAAUUGAUGAAUAAGGUUGGAUUAGGAAGUAAAGAAAAAAUAGUUAGUUUUUUUGAUAAUUUUUACUUUUAUGU
rnacentral:rRNA from 1 species